GGGAAUCAAAGACCAAACCAUAGAGGCUGUUACUGAAUACUUCUGCCAGAUUUUUGGUUGCUGCAUCUCUCCAAGCUAUUCUAGGAGUCAUUUCUUGAGGGACUAAGGAACACAUUCUCUCCUUGCUUGGUGAUGUUGAGGACUUGGCAGGGUUGAUUACCUAACAGGUAGCACCUUUCUCCGAGAAGAUCAGGGGGCUGUUUGAACACAAGUCAACAUUAUAUAUGGUUCUUCUGUUCAUGCCUGUUUGCUUGGUUGCUCAAUUCUGCUUCCGCUGUGGGUUCUUUGUUCCCUUUCUUUUGCUUAUUGCUGCUCAUGGUUGUAAUGGUGUUCUGUUAUAUCCAUUUACCUAAAGCACUUGAGACUUAUGUUUUAGGAAUCUAGAAGACCAAGAAGACAUGCUUAAAAAUGGAAUUUUUUAUGAUUGCAACAUGGUGAUUCACCCUUUUAUAUAUUACAAGUUCAAU
rnacentral:lncRNA from 1 species